rnacentral:tRNA from 1 species
CGGGGCGUAGCGUAGCCUGGCAGGCACAGUGUUCGGGACGUUGAGGUCAGAGGUUCAAAACCUCUCGCUCCAG